rnacentral:rRNA from 1 species
AACGAACGCUGGCGGCAGGCCUAACACAUGCAAGUCGAGCGAGAAGCUUCCUUCGGGAAGUGGACAGCGGCGGACGGGUGAGUAACGCGUGGGAACGUACCUUGGAGUACGGAAUAGCCCUUAGAAAUGAGGAGUAAUACCGUAUACGCUCGAAAGAGGAAAGAUUAAUCGCUCCAAGAUCGGCCCGCGUUAGAUUAGCUUGUUGGUGAGGUAAAAGCUCACCAAGGCUCCGAUCUAUAGCUGGUCUGAGAGGAUGAUCAGCCACACUGGGACUGAGACACGGCCCAGACUCCUACGGGAGGCAGCAGUGGGGAAUAUUGGACAAUGGGGGCAACCCUGAUCCAGCCAUGCCGCGUGGGUGAAGAAGGCCCUAGGGUUGUAAAGCCCUUUCAUCUGUGACGAUGAUGACGGUAGCAGAAGAAGAAGCACCGGCUAACUUCG